GACGAACGCUGGCGGCGUGCUUAACACAUGCAAGUCGAGCGGAAAGGCCCCUUUGGGGGUACUCGAGCGGCGAACGGGUGAGUAACACGUGAGUAAUCUGCCCUUCACUUUGGGAUAACCCCCGGAAACGGGAGCUAAUACCGGAUAUGACUGGCGACCGCAUGGUUGUUGGUGGAAACUUUUUUGGGUGGGGGAUGUGCUCGCGGCCUAUCAGCUUGUUGGUGGGGUAAUGGCCUACCAAGGCUUUGACGGGUAGCCGGCCUGAGAGGGUGACCGGCCACACUGGGACUGUGACACGGCCCAGACUCCUACGGGAGGCAGCAGUGGGGAAUAUUGGACAAUGGGCGGAAGCCUGAUCCAGCAACGCCGCGUGAGGGAUGACGGCCUUCGGGUUGUAAACCUCUUUCAGCACCGACGAAGCGCAAGUGACGGUAGGUGCAGAAGAAGGACCGGCCAACUACGUGCCAGCCGCCGCCUGUAAUAC
rnacentral:rRNA from 1 species